UCAGUUUAAAAACAGAGAAGGGGGAGAGCUCAAGCUGGUUUUCAUAUUUUUUGCUGCAAGUAAGUUCAAUUUAGCCCCGUUUUUAAUAAUUUUUAUAUUUUUAAUAUCAUUAUAACUAGGUCUAGUUAACCCGUAUCUUCGAUUUUGAAAUUGUUAAAAAUUUUGAAUGUUGACAUUGAUGAAUCUAUAUGAUUUUAGAUGUUAAAUGAUGAAUUUGAGAUAUUGAUUUAUAUUUAAAAUUAUUUUGUUAAGUAAUUUUGAUGAAUUUCCCGAUUAGGGACUAAAUUGUUGAAAUAGUAAAAAUACAAUGGUUUUUUGUGAAUCUAUUGCAAAAAUGGACUGUAUUAAAUGCCAUGAACAUUCAUCUAGCUUUAAUUUAUAUUAAAAAUGGUUAAUUUGCAUGUUUUGAGUUUAGGGACUAAAUUGAAUAAACUUUAAACUUUAGGGGCAAUUUUGUAAAAAUGUCAAAAAUGACUAAAUUGCAUGAAAUGAAUGGUUUCAUCGUCUAAAUUAAUACAUUAAAUGAAAUUAUUGAUUUAGAUCAAGAUCGGGUGUAAAUUUAAGAAAAAUAGAAAAAUAUUAAAAUACCCCUGAACUUUGGUAUUUCUGCAAAUUAGCCAGGUAAGUUCGCGUAAUUAAAUUGUAUAUUUAUAUGUUUUAAAUUGAAUUUUUUGUGUGUGAUUUGUUUAAAUUUCCAUGAUGAUCGACAAAUAUUAAGUCCCGUUUGAAUAAAUGAAAUUCAAUGGAUACAGGGUUUCUGUAUUAGUUAUGGUCCUGCAUAUGUUGCGGACAAACCACAGCUCGAAAGAGCGUCUCGUUAUUAGCCCUCUCGAGCUUCCCAUUAUAUGGUUCUUGCGAGCUUCCCGUUAAUAGCUUUUCGGAGCAUCCUGAUCGAUUGUGAUCCUGCAUGUAUUGUGGACACACCGUAGCUCUUAUGAGCGUCCCAAUAUAUGGCUCUUCAUGAGCUUUCCGAUUAAAGGCUCUUUGUGAGCUUCCUAAUUAAUGGCUCUCUGGAGCUUCCUGAUAUGGCUCGCUUGAACUUCCCGAUAUAUGGCUAUCUGGAGCUUCCCGAUUAAUGGCUCUUCGGGGCUACCCGUAAUUGGCUCGUAUGAGCUUCCUAAUUAUGGCUCUUAUAAGCUUCCCGUUAUACAGCCCGUAUAAGCUUCCCGUUAUAUGGCUCACAUGAGCUUCCUGUUAUAUGGCUCGAGAGAAAGCUUCUCGUUUAUGUGCUUGUAUGAGCAUUCCUGUAAUGACCCAAAAUUCACGGGCAUCGAAAAAGUAUAAUAUCGGGCCUCCGUCUUAGUAAAUUGAGUUCAAAAAUAAUUAUUAGAAAUAUUUACGAGACUAGUUGUGUGUUUAAUUACGUUUUAGAUAGGUGAAUUUAGUUUAAUUAAGAGUAAUUAGGAAAAAGGGAUUAAAUUGAAUAAAGGGUAAAAGUAUGAUUAUAGAUCAAAAGAAAAUAAGAGGGACUAAAUAGGUAAAUAAGUCAAUGGCUUAAGAGUAGGCGGCAAUACAUGGAAAAAUCUUAGAUUUUUCUUGAUUAAUAUUAUAAAAACAUUAUUUAAUUCAAAUAUUAUAAAUUAUAUUAAUUAAAAUUAAGAUGUUAUAUUAUAGGAAAUAAAUAAAAUAAAGACAAUUGUGCGGUGAUAAAAUAAUACAUGUGUAAAAUAUAUAAAAACACACUUGUAAUAAAAUAAAACAUUUUCUUAUAAUUUAAGUAAAAGAUAUUUGUGAAUUAAAUAUUAGUAUAUGAUUAUUAUAAUAUAUUAUUAUUAUCUAAUACAUAAAAGGAAUAAAAUAAAAGAAGAAAAGAAACAGAGACCAUUCGAAACAGGGGAGAAAGAAAAGGGAAAGAAAAAUAAAAGGGAAAACUAGGGAUUUGAAGCUUGAAGUUUAAUUAGUAAGUUAAAUCAAGUCUUUUUCUCAUAAAUUUGAUGUUUUUGGAAUCCUAGAGUGAAAUACUCAGGGACUUAAGUUGAAAAUUUGAAAGUUAAUAGAUUUUUGAGUAGGGUUUAUGUUGAAUAAAUGAUGGAAUUGAGGGUUUAAUUGAUAGAAAUUUUGAUUAGAAUUGAUAAAAUGAUUAAACUGUAAAAGAAACUAUAAGUUUUAUGUGUUGGGGACUAAAUUGGGGGAAUUCGAAAUUAGGAAAAUAUGCUGAAAUUUUAAUAGUUAAAUUUGAGUUUGGAUGAAAUUUGAAUAGAAAUAGAGUGUGAAUUGAAUUAGGAAAGUAAGUGAACUUAGUUAGGAUCAAAUUGAGAAUAAGGAAGAAAUUGAAUAGAAAUUCAAUUAUUUAUCAUAAUUAGUGUUGCAAUUAAUAGUGUAAAUUAUUAUUUUUCGUAGCUAACAAAAAUUCCAAGGCAUCGGCAUCAAAAGGAAAUGAGAAAGCUAUCGAGGACUAAAACGGGAGAUUUUCGGUUUGUAUUACUAUAACUCAAGUUAUUUAUUAUUAAAUGUUAAAUUUUAAUUUAUGUGUUUGUUAAAUGAAAUGUGAGGUAAGUAUUAUUAUUAUUAUUAUUAUUAUUAAGAUGAGUGGAAAUUAAACUGAAUAGUUUAUAUGAAUUAAUAUUUAAAUUGUUUGUUAAUUGAAAGCGGGAAGUGAAUUUAAAUCGAAUAGUGACUAAUAUUAAAUUGAAUGUAAAUGUAUUGAGUUGUGAAAAUGUGUGAAUUGUGGAUUAAUUAUUGAUUGAAAGGUGGAAAAAUGAUUGAAUUGAAAAUGUGAGAAAUUGUGAUUGAAUUGGGAUUAUAUGUGACUUAAAUACCCUAUUAACUAGUCAGGUUGAGUUAGAUAUAGUUGGCAUGCCAUAGGAUUAGAAGAGUUCAGGGAUACUUCGAUCUCGAGUCGAUGAGACACUGGGUGUCACUAUAUUCCUUCGGAUAGAUUCGAUGAGGUACUGGGUACCAACUUCUUCGGCUUUGCCGAUGAGACACUGGGUGUCAACUAUUGCUUCGAAUUAUCCGAUGAGGCACUGGGUGCCAUUUUGGUGUGUUUGGUUGGAUCCGUGUAUCCGCCAAAGUCCGAGUCUUAUUAUUAGGGGUAAAUAAAUGAAAUAGCAAAAAUCGAAUGAAAAUGAUCGACUUUAUUCAUGAAAUGAAAAUUGAAUUGAAAAUUGAGAAAUGAGAAUGAAAAGAUUGAAUCAAGGAUUCAUGAACAUAUUUAUGUUCAAAUGAAAUGUUAUAUGAUAUUAAAUUGGUGAAUGGUCAAAUUGAGUUGCUAUUAUUGAGAAAUGAAAGUAAGAAUAAAUUAGUUUGUUUAUGAAUUUAAUUGUUAUAUAAGUUGACAUGUUAUUGGUUAUCUUACUUAAAUAAUUUAAAUUAUAGUAAUACCACUGAGUAUGAAAUACUCAGCGUACAGUUGUUUCUGUGCGCAGGUCGAUAGAAGUCAAAGGUACCGGUUCAGCAUCCAGAUCAAUCCCGACUUCAGCAUAACUUCGGUGAUGUAUUUUUCCUUUUGGUAAAUGUGGCAUGUACUUAGGUCUUAUUAAAGAGUCUUGUAAGUUUUGGUUGUAAAGAAUUUGUUUCUAAUGUUUGAAUGAUAAACGAAACACUAAGUUACAAAAUGGUAUGUUCGGUAUUAAAAUUGAAGUGAGAUGAACAAAGUUUAUUAGUUACUUUUAUAAAGUAUUAUGAAUAGUGUUGAUCAAUUUAAUAAGUAAAUGUUUAGGCAUGAUUUAGACAUGUUUGAAUGUGAAAAUGAGUUGGUUUUUGUAUUGACUGUAAAUUGGUUGCGAUUUUAAUUGAUGGGGGUUUUAUGCAAAAAUAAGCAAAAAUGCUGCCGAAAUUUAUAAAAAAAUGAAUGAAGUCAAUUGGUAAACAAACAUAUAAAUUUAUGAUUUAUUUUAAUAUGUUGGUUAUUUAUUAAAAAUUAUUUGUAAAUCGUUUAAUAUGUCUGGUAAUGCCUCGUAACCCUGUUUCGGCGACAAUUUGGGGUUAAGGGUGUUAUAAUUCCCAAAAAUGAAUUGACAAAUUACAAAUUUGUACACUUUGUGUGUACUACCUGUGUAGCCAUCGAUAUUUUAAAUGAUUUAACGGGCAAAAUCUUGACAUUAGAAAAUAUGAGUACGAAAUGAAUUAUUACCCGUAUAUGCCUGAAAUACAUGAAAUUGAUAUUACAUGACAUGUUGAAAUAUGAGAUAGAAGAUACAUGUGUAUGAAAUACAUGAAAUUGAUAUUACAUGACUUGUUGAAAUAUGAGAUAGAAGAUACAUGUGUAUGAAACUUGCCUGAUGACUAAGUACAUUAGUAAUUACGAACUAUUACCGGAAUAUAUAUAUAUGAAAUACAUGGAAAUGAUGGUACAUGGUAUCUUGAUAUAAAGAAAUGAAUGAUAUAUGUUUAUGAAGAAACAGUACGAGAAUGAUAAGCAUCAUGAUAUGCACAUAUGUGAAUAUCUUUUAGAUGUUGAUACAAGGAAAUUAUGUAAAUUGAAACGAGUAAUAAACUCAAGUGUGACAUGUUGAGAAAAUAAGUUUAUCAAUGUUGAAUUUAUAUAGAAUAUGUGUAAGUACGCUAACAAAUAUUGUUGUUGAUGCUUAAGCAAGUGUCAAGCUAUUGGUUGAAUGGGUAAUAUGUUUAUUUACAUGAUGCAUUGAAAUGGUAAGUACUCAAGAGAAAAUAUGCAAGUGCUCAUGAAAGAGUGGUAAGGUUUAAAUUGUGCAAUUUCUUAUGAAACGACUUAUCAUAGGAUUAAUUCAAGAAAGGCUAGGUUAAAUGGAGUAGCUUGUGGCUAUGGUUGAAUAUUAUGCUUAUGGCUUGUGUGUUAUGCACAUGGAAUGAGUGUGAAAAAUAAAGAAAUGCAAAUGAAAAUAAAUAAAUUUAGAAGAGUUUAAAGUUGUUUAAAAUUCUACUAUGCUAGAAUAACAUGUAAAAGUGAUGAUGUGGAUUUAUUCACCUUCUGAGUUAUUGAAUAUAACUUCACGAGUAUUGCGUUGUCAAUAUUGGAAUAUUAUUUAUAUGUAUAAAUUUCAUAUUUGAAAUGAAUUGAUAUGAUUAAAGUUUAUACAAGUUUACUAAGCAUUCAUUGCUUAUGUAGUUGUUUUCCUUUACUUUCCAGAUUAUCGGAAGCUUGAUCGGGAUGAAAACUUGUCGGAGAUAUAUCACACUAUCCACCACUUCUAUCAGUACUUUCGGAUGUUUUGAUUUUGGUUAUAAUGGCAUGUAUAUAUUUUCUGAAAAUUUCUCUGAGUAUCCGGUUUAGUCCGAACUUAUUUCUAAUGUGUAUUUUGGGCCUCGAUGGCUCAUAUAAGGGACUUUAUGAUUGACUUCUGGUAUAAAUACUAUAUGAUGUGAAAUAUCAAUUUACUUGAUCUAUAAAUUUUGGUAAUGCUCCG
rnacentral:lncRNA from 1 species